GUUGCAACAAUCCCAGCAAUUCCUGGUGCAAGCAAUUCACCGCCUGUUCUUCCUGAAGUUACUAGUUCACUGACAAAUGCAUUUGACCCAGCUUCGACAGUUAAUAUAGUCAUCCUAGCAACCUCUUCUUCAACUAUGGAAACAACACCUUCUGCAACCAUGCAGACUUUUGAAACAACACCUUCAGCAUCGGCCACCACGGUACAAAAGCCAAAUUCCGCUGCAGUUUCACCUGUUUCCAACACAGCUCCACUGAAAACAACUGCGAUGGUUACAACAAAUAAUGCAGUAACCAUGGUUACGAGUGCAGUUGUCCCCUCAACUGAUACAGAAUUGAAGACGCUUGUUCCAAGUAUUGUUGCACUUCCUCCAGACACUGAUGUGGUUGUCCAAGCAACCGAUAUUCCUGAAUCUGAUGGUAAUGGUCCUGCUACUGAUGCAACAACUGCAGCUGAAGUUGCACUAGCAACCAAUCCUGUUACCUCAGCAACUGAUGUUCCUGUAUCUCCUUUAUCUGAUGGUAAAACUCCUGCCCCUAAUGCACUAGCAACUGAAGCCACAACUGAUGCUGUUGCUCAAUUUCCUGAUACGGAGGCUCCAGUAAUAGUUAUGGUUGAUCUAGAAACUAGUUCCAUUGUCCCAGCAACUGAUGCAGUUGCUCCCGUAUCAGAAGGAGUUACCCAAGCUACCAAUGUAUCCGAUGAAAUAAAACCAGUUCCUGAUGGUCCACGUGAUAGUGCUGAAGUUGUCACAGCAGGUGCAGAAACUGUCGCCACUAAUGUAGUCCCACCUACCUCUGAUUUAUCUCUUCCAACAAGUGACCCAGUGCCUGCUCCUGAGGCAGCUGUCCCAACUCCUCAGACCUUUGCUCCUGUACCUGAGGCUGCUCCUCAGCCUGAGCCUGAUGUUAAGACUGACAGUAAACCUCCGUCUGAAGUAGAAGAGAAGAGUGAAUUUCCUCUUACUGAGACUAAGGAGGAGAUAACGUCUACAAACCUGGAGAACAAAGAUAAAGCUGUUGAAGCCCCAGGUACCCACAACAGUUCUGAGUUCUGAAAUAUCUGAAAAGUAUAUUCCCUCUCAGUAUAUGAAGUAUAUGAUGACUAUCAAGGGGUGGUCACUGUUUACAGUAAUUGGGAACAUUAAAACAAAUAACGAAGGUGGGAAAACAGGAGAAAGCAGGGAAGCCAAAGAAAAGAAAGAGAAGGAAAAAAAGAAGGAAAAAGAGUAUGAAAAGAAAGAAUAUGAGAAAAAAGGUAAAAAGCUAUUUUAGUUACACUGCAAAAAAAAAAAAAAAAAAAAAAAAAAUAUAUAUAUAUAUAUAUAUUUACUUUUUAAAAAAGAUUUUUAAACAUCCUUAAAUAAGAUGUAUUUA